AACCCACUGAGCAAGGGCAGGGAUCGAACCCACAACCUCAUGGUUCCUAGUCAGAUUCAUUAACCACUGCGCCACGACGGGAGCUCCUCUCCCCUCUGCUUUUCAGCAACACAUACGCUCCUAGUUUGCAGGCAGCUAUCGCUGGUGACCUGGAUGCUGAGAGCCUGUUAUGAAACGAGGCAGCAGCAGGAGAGAGGAGCCCAGAGCCCACGCCCACCCUGUUUGCUUUGUGAAAUUCCAGACAGUUGAAUCGGCUCUACCUCAUCCGAAGAACUCCAGAUUCCCCUUUUCUUAAUGACGUUCCCCUCCUUAAAUGCCUACACAGUUAUCUUUGAAGGAGAAAGAGAAGAGGUGAAUCACUAGCAGGAAGCGGAGGGGAGAGGUGUGCAGUUGGAACGGCAGAUGGCUGCGCGUGUGGGCACGAAGCGGUCUCUGCUGCUCCUUCCACCUCCCUCCGGAAUCGAGUGCUUUGGAAGCAGACAUUCAUUCCAGGGUGGGGGCGCUCAGGUACCAACAUGUAAUUCCACAUCCGCUCGGAUCCCUCUCAGACAUCGCAACUCGGGCUCGGGCUCAAAUUGGGCUGUUUACCCUCUUCUCGAAGCUUUGGCAUUAAACUGUCCAAAGAAAGGGGGAUAAACUCGUUUCACUUAGUGGCAACAGAAUUGGGCCUGCGGUCUGCUUUCUCCUGAGGACAUCAAGUCAGUGCAUGAAUAUUUUCUCGCGCCACAGUACAAGCUCUCUAACCUCAUAAGGGGUUAGAAACGCCUAGAGGGGAGCUGGAGGAGAGAGACUACAUGCAGAUAGCGAUCUGCGAUUAUGAAACUCAGUCCAUCAACAGACUCGCUUCCAUUGAUUUUUCUUCUCACUUCCAUCACCGCCAUCUGCCCUCCCACCCUAGACCCCAGAGCACAGGAAACCUCUUGUGAGCACACGAAUGUGCAGAGGGGUAAGAGGUUGUCUUUUUUUUUUUUUUUUUUGUGCAACAUGAGUUUUGGUAAAAUGUGUGUCUAGAAGUUGAGAUGUAUUUCUUAGCACAAAUUAUUAUAUACCACUUAGAAACAAAGAAUCGUGGUUAAGAGCAUUUUUUUAGGAAUGAACACUGCUUUAGAAUCAAUUUUAAUGACAGUCAUCUGAUUAAGAAGGCAUACGCUCAGUCCAGAAAUCAAUCCGAAUAAUCAUAAAAAAUAUUUCAGCAAUCACAAAUCCUGUAAUAAUAGAAUUUCUACCCUCACAUUCAUUAUGACUUGAUGACUCAUUAUCUCAAAGUCAUCCAUACUAACCUUCACAAAAGCACUCAUUCGUGGAUCCUAAAAAGCUUUAAAAUCAUUCUUCAUAAUUUAUAAACAUGACCAUACUGGUCUAUUUUUUGUCUUUUUCUGUCUUUUUAGGGUGACACCAGUGGCACAUGGAGGUUCCCAGGCUAGGGGUCCAAUCAGAGCUGUAGCUGCGGGCCGACGUCACGCGGGAUUCGAGCGAAGUCUGCAACCUACACCACAGCUCAUGGCAAUACCGGCUCCUCAACCCACUGAGCAAGGCCAAGGACCGAACCUGCAUCCUCAUGGAUGCUUGUCAGGUUCAUUAACCACUGAGUCACAAUGGGAACUCCCAUACUGGUCUGUUUUCUGUGCCUUUCAGGAUGCCCCAGCUUCCCCUGAGCCCUAGACUUGGCCCUUGGGCUUGUCCAGAAUGGACAGCCUCCUGAGACAGGGCUCUGGAGGGACCACCUCUCACCUGCCCUAACAGGAGCCUCAGUGGUCCCUGGCCUGGGUCUGACCUGACAAGACUCACGUGCCGCGUGCGUGGCUGCUGCCCUCCCAUCUCUUCCAGGCAGCUUCCUAAGAUGUGAAGCCUGGCUUUCCUGAUGGCUCCCCUAAGUGGCUAACAACGCAGAUGUGCAGCACUGAAUCAAGACGAGAGGCCAAGAAGAUAAAUCCUUCUUCCUCUCUCCACGCCCUCCUCCGCUGAUGGACUGCUUCAAGGUGACCUGGAGGAUGAACACCUGCUUGGGCAUAUUUCCUCGUGAGCGUAUGUCCCGUUCCUUCACAUGCCCGCCGGGUAUCUGCUUCCCUCCUCCGCUGCCUCAUCUCUCUCUCCCUCACUUCUGCAGCCCUGAGAUCACACCUCACAACGUAACAUUAACAAGUAAUUUUUGACACAGCUUUUAUUCUCUAGGCGAUCUGAUUAAAACAAUGCUUUUUUUUUUUUUAAAUCACACAUUAUAUCUCCAAUCCAGCCUCCUGCCUACAGUCCAUUCUCUUCUUAAAAAGAAUGAAUGGAGACCUAAAGUUUACAUUAAGGUUCUUUAGAGCUGCUCCAGCGAAGUGUCUCUGCGUUGAGACUCUUUUCUCUAAAUCUCAUCUAACGUUCCUGUAAGUGGGUUUCAUCGCACCGCAGUAUGACUGGGUAUUAGCAAUCCUUUUCUCUGAUUGGCUGCUUCUGCCCAGUCUGGUUGGUGGUGGACGAAGACAACUGACAGUCGCUUUCCCCACCUGCAGCCUCCUACUUACAAGCCCAUUUCCUGAUCUCCAUCCUAUUACCACUGAUGCUACCCUCUGCCUCCUUUGUGUCCUGACCUCCCCUUCCCUUUCAGCAAAUUCCUGACAUGUACUGGUGAUAGAGCCAGUUCAAGGUAGUAUUCACGAUCCUUUUGAUUCAGGAUAUGCUGUUUGGGAUAGAAUAGGUAUCUUUUAAUCGACAGCUACAGAAUAUCAGCUGCCAAGAGCAAUGUGAUAUUUGGGGGUUGUAAACCAGACACUUUAAACCAUACCUAGAUGGAGAAAAAGAAGUGAAAGGACUUUUUCACUUCUCUAUUUAAUGGACCAGAUAGUAUCUUCUUAGGGAGAGGGAGGGGUGGUGAGGAUAAAAGCUCUUCGAUAUUUAGUGGAAUCAAAAGGCAGGGACAGAAAAAAAUGGAGUUCCUGUUGUGGCUCAGUGGGAACAAACCUGGCUGGCAUCCAUGAGGACGCAGGGUCAAUCCCCGGCCUUGCUCAGUGGCCUUGAUCCAGCGUUGCCAUGAGUGUGGCGCAGGUAGCAGAUGCGGCUCGGAUCUUACAUUGCUGUGGCUGUGGUGUAGGCCAGCUUCGAUUCGACCCCUAGCCCGGGAACCUCCAUAUGCUGCGGGUGCAGCCCUAAAGAGACAGGAAAAAAAAAAAAAAAAAAGGACAAAAAAAUUAGGAAACGAAAGGCAGGGGCUGUGAAUGCUGGAAGAGAACAGGAGGGCUGCUCCUUUAAACAGUAAGGAGUUAAAAUUCCUUGGAUGUUUUG